AGCCCUGAUCUGUCACCCAGGCUGGAGUGCAAUGGUGCCAUCUCAGCUCGCUGCAACCUCUGCCUUCUGGAUUAAAGCAAUUCUCCUGCCUCAGCCUCCCGGGUAGCUGGGAUUACAGGUAGAAGUUGCUGGUCCCAUCUUGCUCACAAUCCUCCAAAGUUUGAAAGUUAUUUUCCAGGAGACUUGGCUUGCACUGAGAGCUGCCCUCCCACCCUCUCUCCAAAUUUCCUCUUGGGGGUAGCCUAACAAGGUGCUGUCACAGACCCUUGUCGGCCACGAUGACCCCACCCAGACCAUCCCUCUGCUGUUUCACUCUUUGAUAGUCUCUGGAGCUCUCUGGGGAGGGGU
rnacentral:lncRNA from 1 species